AAGACUGUACUUUCAGGGAUCAUUUCUAUAGUUCGUUACUAUUUGGGGACUGCUUAAUUUUUAUUUCUGAAAGUAAUAUCCCAAGAUAAUAGAAAUUGUCUUUACUAUCUUGGG
rnacentral:snoRNA from 1 species